GUGAAAAGUUUAUUGAAAGUUUUCGUUCCUAGUCGACCCUUUCAUCUUGGAAGAGAAAGUCUAGGGUUAGGGUUGAGAGAGAGCGAGAAAGAAAAAAAAAAGGAGAACUCCAUGACUGCCACAGGCUGGACGUGAUCGGUGAUCAGAAGAGUUGGAACCGGCAAAGAUGAUGCACAUAUUUUCUGCAGGGAGUCCAGGUGAAAGAUCAGAUCCAACAAGCAGGAUUUCACGUUUAGGCUUAUACAACUGAUAGGAAGAUUCAAAAGAAGGUCAAGGUAUUGGGCAGAAGGAAUCCACAUUGCCAUAUUUAGAACCCGAAGUCACUGGGCAAAGAUUGGUUGUCAGAGCCAACUUUGUUUGUGCUGGAAUUGGAAUUGUCAAUACUGGAAGAGUUUGAAAAGUGUUGCUUUGAAAACCCUUGGACAAUAUUAGAUAGAAAAAAUCGUAGGUACAUUGAAUAGAUUAUUAUGAAGUUUUUUGUCUUCGGAUAUAUGUAUGAAUUCAUAUGUAUUGUUAGGAAACACAAUUGUAAUUUUGAAUGAUCUUAACUCUUCAUAUUUUUUGAUGAAUAAAGGUUGAAUAUUUGA